CCUACGGGUGGCAGCAGUAGGGAAUCUUUCACAAUGGGCGAAAGCCUGACGGAGCAACGCCGCGUGCAGGAUGAAGGCCUUCGGGUUGUAAACUGCUUUUAUAAGCGAGAAAUAUGAUGGUAACUUAUGAAUAAGGAUCGGCUAACUACGUGCCAGCAGCCGCGGUCAUACGUAGGAUCCGAGCAUUAUCCGGAGUGACUGGGUGUAAAGAGUUGCGUAGGUGGCAUAAUAAGUAGCUAGUGAAAUCUGGUGGCUCAACCAUUCAGACUAUUAGCUAAACUGUUAAGCUCGAGACCGUUAGAGGUAACUGGAAUUUCUAGUGUAGGAGUGAAAUCCGUAGAUAUUAGAAGGAACACCAAUAGCGUAGGCAGGUUGCUGGGACGGUUCUGACGCUAAGGCACGAAAGCGUAGGGAGCAAACGGGAUUAGAUACCCCGGUAGUC
rnacentral:rRNA from 1 species